AAACAAGCUUAAUUCUUAUUUCUUAUUUGUAGAGUGACCUUGAAACUAAGGCAAAGAUUGGCUUGUUGGAAACAGAUAACAAAAAUGACAUCCUCAGUCAAGCAUUGGGCACCAAUAAACAUCUAGGGUUAGUACGAGGUAUGGGGAAAUUUAUCACCCAUGGGGUAUACUUUGAGAUUCCAAAAAAUGUUAGAGAUAUGAUGACAAGGGAAAGAGAUGAAUUUAUUAAGAGGUUUAAUGCCUUAGAGGAGAGAUUGGAGAAAAUGUCCAAUUAAUUGAAUAAUAGGAGUUUGAUGUCUGACGUAGGAAGCAAUCAUCAGCCAUUGAAAGGCAAUGCUUUAUUGGCCAAAUCGGUCGCAGUGGAUAAUACUUGUUACCUUGUCGUAGAUUCCCCAGCCAACAUUGUGGCGAAGGGGACUAUUAUAGAAUAUGAAGGUCCCAACGUAUGGGUGACCAUUGAUGUGGUGUUUGAUGGAAGCCCAUCUCUUUCAUUCCUAGAUGAUGAAGAAUUUUUGGUGAAGGUAAGCGAUGCGAUUGGCCAUCGUCUACUUUGGCCAGAGGAACUUGUAUUACAAGAAGCUGACAUGGUUUCUAAGAAACUUUAGAAGAAGUAUACAACUCCAGAAAAAGUGGCUAAGAAAUCAAAAUCUAUGUACAACAAGGCAAAUUAUGAUAUGGAGAUUGAGGACAUUGACUCGUUGGGUAAUGAAUUAGCAAUCACACUUGUUAAGUUAGAGCCUAAAUAAAUGAAGUUGGACAAGAAGCACACAAGUCCUUGCAAGAGAAAGGUUGAUGUGACACCAUUAAGAAAGAAGAAAACACGACAGUCAAUGUUGUUUGAGAGACAGUGUGUAGAACAAUCCUUCUCUGAAGAUGUUCUCAACAAUGGUUAAUCGUCUUCUACCCGAUAGGCAAACAGAUGACAACCUGUUCGGGUAUGAUAGCUAUACUUACGUAUCUAAGAAGGAUUUUGAAAGAGUGUUUGAUAUGGAGGAGUUGACAGCCUUAUGCAUCACACUUUAUAUAAUGGCAAGGCUUUAUAUGAGAAGCUAAAGGGUAAUGGGGGCAAUCUAAAUGAAAUUGGUUUCAUGAGCCCUAACUCAUUUUCAAUAGCAGGCAGCACUAAUGUCACGAGAAGAAGAACCCAAAGGGCAUAGUUGCUUGCCAAUCGAUUGGCAAGUGUGAAGAACAAGAAUUUAAUUAUAGUGUCAUAAAACCCAGGAUUAGUAAUUCAUUGAUUUCCUUACUUUUAAUCUUGUUUGAAUAAUCUAUUUUUAAGAUUUAAAAACAAUGUUUGUCCUAAUUUGUUUAUUUGCGAUCUGGAGAGUUUCCGUUUUUGUUAUUUGGUUAUGACAGACCCCUAAGGCUAUUAAUAGACCUCCCAUUAAGAAGGUGUAUCAAUAUAAAGGGCAUAAGGGUAAAAAGGUGUGAGAGUGCAUGUGUGUUAGUGGAGGGUGGUUAGGUGUUAUUUGCAUGUGAAGAAUCAAGUGGUUAG